UAAAUGCAAUAAAUUGUAUCCUUAAUUAUAUAUUUAUUAAGUUAGAAUAUCAUGCCAGUGCUUUGUUAGCUAUACAUCAUUAUGUAAAAUGCUAUAAAAUAAAUGUUGAAACAUUUAUCAUUUAAACAUUACUGUUGAUGCUCAGAAAAACUGUGCUUGUAAUGUUUGCCAUUUAUCAAAGCAAACAAGCAUCUUGAUCACAAAUCUUUCCAGCCUUGAGCCUAAAACCCGCUAGCUUAUCAAAUCCCAGACAGUAGUAACACUAGCUUGUUUCAGCUGUGACUACUAACCCACUACUGUACAGAAGUCACUUGCCCGCAGUUGUUUUUCUGGUUUCUCUUCUCUCUCCCUAAAGGAGCCAUUGAAAUUUGGUGUAAAAAGAGUAGCAGUGGGUGUAGGGUGUCUCAAGGCGAAUGUGAACAGCUGAGGUGUGAUUUCACAGGCUCGCUCUGCCCUGUCACGGCCCUGAUUGGGUUGGACAGCAGGCAGAGGAGAGGCCCUGGCUUCUAAAGGACACCAACAGGUGGAGGACCGCGGGGCAGAGGGGGGAGUAUAAGGGAGGCUGAGCGCUUAAAAAAAGCCGGGAGCAUGUGGCCAUGUCUGGGCAGAAUCCACCAGUCAUGCAAAGAGGACCAUACACUGUAGCACUCAGCAGAAGAGGAAAGAUGGGAACAGAAAGGUAAGCAGCAAGAAUGAUUUUCUGAACAUUGUCAACAUAAGCUCUGUUCAUGUUCCUCCCUCUGCCUGCCGUUCUCUCUUGUUGAAGCAGCACGCCUUGCUGUGGCUGGUCAAAUGGAACCAAGUCAGGUGUUUCUGUGAGGUUUGGUCCCCUUCAACCAGCUACUGCGUCGUGAAUACAGCCAACAUAGAGCAAAGAUUAUAAGAGAGUCAUUCAGUAAAGUCUGAUAAUUAUCAUUUAAAAUGUACUAAUCCUAAGUUUUUCAUUAUUUAAUUGUCUUUUAUUUCUUCUAAAAUUCAAUAAACUAUUUUCCUUUUCAAUGUUGUGUUCA
ensembl:lncRNA